UACGUAGGGUGCGAGCGUUUGUCCGGAAUUAUUGGGCGUAAAGAGCUUGUAGGCGGUUUGUCGCGUCUGCUGUGAAAAUCCGGGGCUCAACCCCGGACUUGCAGUGGGUACGGGGCAGACUAGAGUGUGGUAGGGGAGACUGGAAUUCCUGGUGUAGCGGUGGAAUGCGCAGAUAUCAGGAGGAACACCGAUGGCGAAGGCAGGUCUCUGGGCCACUACUGACGCUGAGGCACGAAAGCGUGGGGAGCAAACAGG
rnacentral:rRNA from 1 species